rnacentral:lncRNA from 1 species
GCAAUCUGUCUCUGCUUCUGCUGAAGAGUGUUACUGAUUUGAUAAGAAGCCAGCGCUUUUAAGUAACUGAUCUGUAAGAGUGAACCCAAUCCCCCGUGUGCAGGAUGGCUCAGUUUCACUGAUAAACCUAAUGAAAGCUGACAAAGGCUGAAAACUCAUUAAUAAUAACCAGCAGCACCAAGAUUUCUUAACUCACCUUGACUGAGAACAAGAGACUCCAGAGUCA